rnacentral:rRNA from 1 species
AGGGGCAGCGGGGUAGUGCUUGCACUACUGCCGGCGACCGGCGCACGGGUGAGUAACACGUAUGGAACCUGCCCGCAGCAGGGGGAUAAGCGGAAGAAAUUCCGUCUAAUACCGCGUAAGAACGUUGGGAGGCAUCUCCCGAUGUUUAAAGAUUUAUCGGCUGCGGAUGGCCAUGCGGCGCAUUAGCUAGUCGGCGGGGUAACGGCCCACCGAGGCGACGAUGCGUAGGGGUUCUGAGAGGAAGGUCCCCCACACUGGUACUGAGACACGGACCAGACUCCUACGGGAGGCAGCAGUGAGGAAUAUUGGUCAAUGGCCGAGAGGCUGAACCAGCCAAGUCGCGUGAGGGAAGACGGCCCUACGGGUUGUAAACCUCUUUUGUCGGGGAGCAAAGCGAACCACGUGUGGUUCAUUGAGAGUACCCGAAGAAAAAGCAUCGGCUAACUCCGUGCCAGCAGCCGCGGUAAUACGGAGGAUGCGAGCGUUAUCCGGAUUUAUUGGGUUUAAAGGGUGCGCAGGCGGAGGUGCAAGUCAGCGGUCAAAUUGCGGGGCUCAACCCCGUACUGCCGUUGAAACUGCAUCCCUUGAGUGCGCGAGAAGUAUGCGGAAUGCGUGGUGUAGCGGUGAAAUGCAUAGAUAUCACGGAGGUCUCCGCUUGCGUUGGCUGCCUCCCGGCGCGCNCCUGGCGCUCCUGCCCGCCCGCGUGGGUCCCUAUAAAAGGCGCUCCCCUCUNNUCCNCGCNNUNNNCGACCCUUAAGGCGUUCGGCCAGAAUGAGGGCUGAGUGGUACAGCGAAAGCGUUAAGUGUUCCACCUGGGGAGUACGCCGGCAACGGUGAAACUCAAAGGAAUUGACGGGGGCCCGCACAAGCGGAGGAACAUGUGGUUUAAUUCGAUGAUACGCGAGGAACCUUACCCGGGCUCAAACGACACAGGAAUACUUUUGAAAGGAGGUAGCCCUACGGGGUCUGUGUCGAGGUGCUGCAUGGUUGUCGUCAGCUCGUGCCGUGAGGUGUCGGCUUAAGUGCCAUAACGAGCGCAACCCCUAUCGCCAGUUACCAUCAAGUAAAGUUGGGGACUCUGGCGAGACUGCCGGCGCAAGCUGAGAGGAAGGCGGGGAUGACGUCAAAUCAGCACGGCCCUUACGUCCGGGGCGACACACGUGUUACAAUGGCAGGUACAGAGAGAAGCCAGGUGGUGACACCGAGCGGAACUCGAAAGCCUGUCUCAGUUCGGAUCGGAGUCUGCAACCCGACUCCGUGAAGCUGGAUUCGCUAGUAAUCGCGCAUCAGCCAUG